AGUCCUGGGGUGUUAACACGUUGGAUUGCAAAUCCGAAGAGGCGGGUCAACAGCCCGCCAGGGCUU
rnacentral:tRNA from 1 species